rnacentral:rRNA from 1 species
UACGAAGGGGGCUAGCGUUGCUCGGAAUUACUGGGCGUAAAGCGCACGUAGGCGGCUUCUUAAGUCGGUGGUGAAAUCCUGGAGCUCAACUCCAGAACUGCCUUCGAUACUGGGAAGCUCGAGUCCGGGAGAGGUGAGUGGAACUGCGAGUGUAGAGGUGAAAUUCGUAGAUAUUCGCAAGAACACCAGUGGCGAAGGCGGCUCACUGGCCCGGUACUGACGCUGAGGCGCGAAAGCUAGGGGAGCAAACAGG